UAAUGGGUCAGCGACUUAUAUUCAGUGGCAAGGUUAACCAUCUAGGGGAGCCGUAGGGAAACCGAGUCUUAACUGGGCGUUCAGUCUCUGGAUAUAGACCCGAAACCAGGUGAUCUAGCCAUGGGCAGGUUGAAGGUUGAGUAACAUCAACUGGAGGACCGAACCGACUAAUGUUGAAAAAUUAGCGGAUGACUUGUGGCUAGGGGUGAAAGGCCAAUCAAACCUGGAGAUAGCUGGUUCUCCCCGAAAGCUAUUUAGGUAGCGCCUCGGACGAAUACUACUGGGGGUAGAGCACUGUUAAGGCUAGGGGGUCAUCCCGACUUACCAACCCUUUGCAAACUCCGAAUACCAGUAAGUACUAUCCGGGAGACACACGGCGGGUGCUAACGUCCGUCGUGGAGAGGGAAACAACCCAGACCGCCAGCUAAGGUCCCAAAUUACUACUAAGUGGGAAACGAUGUGGGAAGGCUCAGACAGCCAGGAUGUUGGCUUAGAAGCAGCCAUCAUUUAAAGAAAGCGUAAUAGCUCACUGGUCGAGUCGGCCUGCGCGGAAGAUGUAACGGGGCUAAGUAGUAAACCGAAGCUGCGGCAAUAUACUUUUGUAUAUUGGGUAGGGGAGCGUUCUGUAAGCGGUUGAAGGUGUGUGGUAACGCAUGCUGGACGUAUCAGAAGUGCGAAUGCUGACAUGAGUAACGAUAAAGGGGGUGAAAAACCUCCUCGCCGGAAGACCAAGGGUUCCUGUCCAACGUUAAUCGGGGCAGGGUAAGUCGACCCCUAAGGCGAGGCCGAAAGGCGUAGUCGAUGGGAAACGGGUUAAUAUUCCCGUACUUCUUACAAUUGCGAUGGGGGGACGGAGAAGGCUAGGUGGGCCUGGCGACGGUUGUCCAGGUUCAAGUGCGUAGGCUUAAGAGUUAGGUAAAUCCGGCUCUUUUUAAGGCUGAGACACGACGUCGAGCACCUACGGGUGUGAAGUCAUUGAUGCCAUGCUUCCAGGAAAAGCCUCUAAGCUUCAGAUUGUAAGGAAUCGUACCCCAAACCGACACAGGUGGUCGGGUAGAGAAUACCAAGGCGCUUGAGAGAACUCGGGUGAAGGAACUAGGCAAAAUGGUACCGUAACUUCGGGAGAAGGUACGCUCUUGAUGGUGAAGUCCCUCGCGGAUGGAGCUGACGAGAGUCGCAGAUACCAGGUGGCUGCAACUGUUUAUUAAAAACACAGCACUGUGCAAAAUCGUAAGAUGACGUAUACGGUGUGACGCCUGCCCGGUGCCGGAAGGUUAAUUGAUGGGGUUAGACUUCGGUCGAAGCUCUUGAUCGAAGCCCCGGUAAACGGCGGCCGUAACUAUAACGGUCCUAAGGUAGCGAAAUUCCUUGUCGGGUAAGUUCCGACCUGCACGAAUGGCGUAAUGAUGGCCACGCUGUCUCCACCCGAGACUCAGUGAAAUUGAAAUCGCUGUGAAGAUGCAGUGUACCCGCGGCUAGACGGAAAGACCCCGUGAACCUUUACUACAGCUUGGCACUGAACAUUGACCCUACAUGUGUAGGA
rnacentral:rRNA from 1 species